rnacentral:rRNA from 1 species
AUUGAACGCUGGCGGCAUGCCUUACACAUGCAAGUCGAACGGUAACAGGUCUUCGGAUGCUGACGAGUGGCGAACGGGUGAGUAAUACAUCGGAACGUGCCCGAGAGUGGGGGAUAACGAAGCGAAAGCUUUGCUAAUACCGCAUACGAUCUCAGGAUGAAAGCAGGGGGCCGCAAGGCCUUGCGCUCACGGAGCGGCCGAUGGCAGAUUAGGUAGUUGGUGGGAUAAAAGCUUACCAAGCCGACGAGCUGUAGCUGGUCUGAGAGGACGAACAGCCACACUGGGACUGAGACACUGCCCAGACUCCUACGGGAGGCAGCAGUGGGGAAUUUUGGACAAUGGGCGCAAGCCUGAUCCAGCCAUGCCGCGUGCAGGAUGAAGGCCUUCGGGUUGUAAACUGCUUUUGUACGGAACGAAAAGACUCCUUCUAAUAAAGGGGGUCCAUGACGGUACCGUAAGAAUAAGCACCGGCUAACUACGUGCCAGCAGCCGCCGUAAUAC